rnacentral:rRNA from 1 species
ACGGGAGGCAGCAGUAGGGAAUAUUGCACAAUGGGGGAAACCCUGAUGCAGCAACGCCACGUGUGGGAAGAAGCAUUUCGGUGUGUAAACCACUGUCGUGAGGGAAUAAUGCUUAAUUUCGGUUAAGUUGAAUGUACCUCGAAAGGAAGCACCGGCAAACUUCGUGCCAGCAGCCGCGGUAAUACGUAGGUGGCAAGCGUUAUCCGGAUUUACUGGGUGUAAAGGGCGCGUAGGCGGGGAGACAAGUCAGGUGUGAAAUCUAUGGGCUUAACCCAUAAACUGCAUUUGAAACUGUAUCUCUUGAGUGCUGGAGAGGUAGAUGGAAUUCCUUGUGUAGCGGUGAAAUGCGUAGAUAUAAGGAAGAACACCAGUGGCGAAGGCGAUCUACUGGACAGUAACUGACGCUGAGGCGCGAAAGCGUGGGGAGCAAACAGGAUUAGAUACCCUGGUA